UACGUAGGUGGCAAGCGUUGUCCGGAUUUAUUGGGUUUAAAGGGUGCGUAGGUGGUCUAUUAAGUCAGUGCUGAAAUAUCCCGGCUUAACCGGGAGGGUGGCAUUGAUACUGAUGGACUUGAGUAAAGUUGAGGUUGGCGGAAUUGACGGUGUAGCGGUGAAAUGCUUAGAUAUCGUCAAGAACACCGAUAGCGAAGGCAGCUAACUAAGCUUUAACUGACACUGAUGCACGAAAGUGUGGGGGAUCAAACAGG
rnacentral:rRNA from 1 species